rnacentral:rRNA from 1 species
UAAUACUAGGGGUGCAAGCGUUGUCCGGAAUCAUUGGGCGUAAAGGGUGCGUAGGCGUCCAGGAAAGUUAUUUGUUAAAUCCUUCGGCUUAACCGAAGAAAUGCAAGCAAAACUAUCUGGAUAGAGUUUAAGAGAGGAAAAUGGAAUUCCUGGUGUAGCGGUGACAUGCGUAGAUAUCAGGAGGAACACCUAUGGCGAAGGCAGUUUUCUGGCUUAAAACUGACGCUGAGGCACGAAAGCGUGGGGAGCAAACAGGAUUAGAUACCCUGGUAGUCCACGCCGUAAACGAUGAGUACUUGGUGCCGGAGGAUUCGACCCCCUCGGUGCCGUAGCUAACGCGUUAAGUACUCCGCCUGGGGACUACGACCGCAAGGUUG